UGUGAGUUAAUGAGUUUACAGGAUAAUUACUUUUCUACCUUAGAGUAAGCUGUCAUCACUGAAAUAUAAGCCUCUUUUGUUACCUGUCUUAAAACCCUUAGAAUGAGAUUUAUUAGUAGUGCAUGGCAUUAACUUCAUUCUCUGAAAUCACCACUUUAUGAUCCAAUAAUAUAGUCUCAAAUAUCUGUGGAAUAACGGAAUGGAAUGGCUAUCUUCUGAGGUACAGAUUUUUUCCUGUGAAGUUCAGAAUAAAUUUCCAUUUUUCAAACUUGAACAUAUGACAAUAUGUUUAUAUGUUUGUUUCAUGAGGUGUGACAAUUACAUCCCUGAAAUGCCCCAUAAAAGCAGGAUAAGACUGCUUGAACCAGAUUGUGUGGGGUCAGGAUAGCAUCUAAAGCCAAGAGUUUGUGAACAGAAUUAUCACAGAGGUGGUGGCUGGGAGUGUGCAGCAUUUUCGGUUCGUGGACAGGUGUUUGAGUGUCCACCAGACUAAGGGUUGCUGCCAUACAGCAUAAUUUUAUCUAAUUGGCAACGUUUAUACACUUCAUGUAACAGAGGAUGAAGUCGAU